rnacentral:rRNA from 1 species
UACGUAGGGUCCGAGCGUUGUUCGGAAUUAUUGGGCGUAAAGGGUGCGUAGGCGGUUUGGUAAGUCUUAUGUGAAAUCUACAGGCUCAACUUGUAGUCUGCAUGAGAAACUGCCGGGCUUGAGUAUGGGAGAGGUGAGUGGAAUUCCUGGUGUAGCGGUGAAAUGCGUAGAUAUCAGGAGGAACACCUGUGGCGAAAGCGGCUCACUGGACCAUAACUGACGCUGAUGCACGAAAGCUAGGGGAGCAAACAGG